rnacentral:tRNA from 1 species
GGCUUUAACCUCUGGUUGCAACCCAGAAACAGAAGGGAUAACCUUCUAAGGCCU